CUACAGGUAUUCCUCCCAGCCUGAUAACAGAUGAGGCGCAUAAGAACCCACCUAUGUUACCACUGCCCAACUAGUCAUUUAUUUUCCAAUCUCCCAUCAAAACUCUUGAAAAAAGAAGAAAAAAAAAAAACCACGAGCUGAAUAAUGCGUGUGGACUCCAGGCGAGAGACAGGCCGGGUUGGGGACUGAGUCGGAGGACACAAUUAUCUGUUCUUUGGGGACCCCGAGAUGUGAUAUGGGCUGCUUGUUCCCAGAGGUUAUCACCAUGACAAAUACUCUCAGGAGAGAUUCUGGCCAUAGCAGUGGCUGCUGGAAGUGUCUUCGGGGCCCUAUUGGAGACCAGAGGUGGGACGGGGACGGCGACAGGGCGAGUCGAGACCACCCACCCCCUCCCCAUUCGCCUGCACUGAAUCAUAUGCAAAGCACUUCAGAUGGUCCCGACGAGCCAUGGGUACGCAGGAGGGUCUGGAAAUAUUCCUAUUCGCGAUGAUUAACAGUCCAGCUGGAAACUUGUAAUUGCAGAAGCCGCCCUAAAUCGGUAACUUAUAACUUCUAUAUUAGGGCCCAUGUGACCUAAUAAAGAACAUCUUUAUCCGGG